GAUGAACGCUGGCGGCGUGCCUAAUACAUGCAAGUCGAGCGAACAGACGAGGAGCUUGCUCCUCUGACGUUAGCGGCGGACGGGUGAGUAACACGUGGAUAACCUACCUACAAGACUGGGAUAACUUCGGGAAACCGGAGCUAAUACCGGAUAAUAUAUUGAACCGCAUGGUUCAAUAGUGAAAGACGGUUUUGCUGUCACUUAUAGAUGGAUCCGCGCUGCAUUAGCUAGUUGGUAAGGUAACGGCUUACCAAGGCGACGAUGCGUAGCCGACCUGAGAGGGUGAUCGGCCACACUGGAACUGAGACACGGUCCAGACUCCUACGGGAGGCAGCAGUAGGGAAUCUUCCGCAAUGGGCGAAAGCCUGACGGAGCAACGCCGCGUGAGUGAUGAAGGUCUUCGGAUCGUAAAACUCUGUUAUUAGGGAAGAACAAAUGUGUAAGUAACUAUGCACAUCUUGACGGUACCUAAUCAGAAAGCCACGGCUAACUACGUG
rnacentral:rRNA from 1 species